ACACGUUGUUUAUAUAUAUCUCAUUGAAAAUUCUAUUUGGUUACAAUUUCCGGUUUAUUUUGAUAGGUUGAUAUAGUGAUGGAGAAUGUUAUUAUAUUUUAUCUCACCAUUGCUUUCGUCAAUGCAGGGUCAUGCUAUUACCGGUAUUACUUUAGAACCAUUCCGCUCUCAGAAUACAGAUUUUGUUUGACCGGAUGUUGUGGACCGAAGGUGCCAGAUGGUAGGAAUUACUGCUGUCCCUCCGUUGGAGCCACAAUUGGAAUUGUUUUGGCUUUGAUCUUAUUUAUUGCAGUCGUUAUUGGGCUGUGCAUGGUGUAUAGAAGAAGAAGACAUGGAUACGUGACGUAUAGAAAUUAUAACCCAUGGACAAGGACAACAGAAAGCGAAAGCAUUCUUCGAAAUAAUGAACACGCAAGGACUUUAUAUUCUCACACACGCCUUUAAUCUUAUGUUGACAUGUCUUAUUCACACAACAUAUGUUUGAACAGUUUAUGUAAUGUAAUGACCAGAUGUUCAGUGGAAUCACCAUGUGUCUGGUGUAAUCAACAAGUUUCGAGUAAAAUCACCAUGUGUAUAGUGUAACAUAAACAGUUCCAAUUUUACUGCACCAGAUGUGCAUUUCGAUUUCGACAAUUAAUGUCUCUUCAGUGAUGCUCGGGCCAAAAUAUUUGAAAAUCCGAAACCUAAUAAAAACGUUGAAGAGCUGAUCAAACCAAAUUACCAUGAGUUUAGAGUAAUCAUCAUGUGUUUAGAGUAAUCAUCAUGUGUUUAGAGUAACCAAAAUGUGUUUUGAGUAAUCAUUAUGUGUUUAGUGUGAUUACCAUGAGUCUAUAGUCAUCAUCAUGUUUCUACUGUAAUUACAAUAUAUCUAGUAUGUGAUCAUCAUGAGAUUUUUAUGUGUUAAUAUAAAAAUAAAGAGAUGUGGUACGAUUGUCAAUGAGACAACUAUCCACCAAAGUUCAACUGAAGUGGAUAUAUGACGAUAAGUUUUCACUUUUGUUCUCGUACUAGGAUCAUCAAAAAUUAUUUAUUUUGUAAAAAUUAUUUCCAUACAUUACUCCAUGUAUACCUUACAACAAAAUUAUUUUAAUUUACCUGUGUACGUUAUUUUAUUCGGCGGCAUUUUGUCCAAGGUUAUGGUUGUCUUUCUGAUAUUGUUUUAUAUCUAACCCCCUUGUUUUAUAAAUUUUGUAUUUACAUUGUGUCAUAUAUCAAAUUUAUUCGUUCAGUGUAUGUUCACUUGUUUUUGUUAAUAUGUCUUUUGAUUGAGUUAAGCCAUUUCAAUUCAUAUUUUAUAGUGUGUCUUUCUAUGUUGUGAUGUUACACUAUUGUUUUAGGUAGAGUGAAGGUUGACGCCUAUUCAAACGUUUAAACCCGCUGCAUUUGUUUGCCCCUGUCCUAAGUCCGGAACUUGAUGUUCAGUGGUUGUCGUUUGUUGAUGUGGUUCAUAAGUGUUUCUCGUUUUUCGUUUUUUAUAUAGAUUAGACCGUUGGUUUUCCUGUUUGAAUGGUUUUACACUAGUAAUUUUUGGGGCCCUUUAUAGCUUGCUGUACGAUGUGAGACAAGGCUUCGUGUUGAAGGCCGUACUUUGACCUAUAAUGGUUUACUUUUACAAAUUGUGACUUGGAAGGAGAGUUGUCUCAUUGGCACUCAUACCACAUCUUCUUAUAUCUAUAUAAGCAAUUAUAGGCAACCGUACGGCCUUCAACAAUGAGCCAAACCCAUACCGUAUAGCUAUAAAAGGCCCCGGCAUAAAAAAUAUGAUAUAAUUCAAUUGAGAAAACUAACGGGCUAAUUUAUAACAAAACAUUUUACGAAAAACAAUGAACUAGAGGCUCCUAACAUGGGACAGGCACAUACAGAAUGUGGUGGGGUUAAACAUGUUUGUGAGCGCUCAACAUGUCUAGUGUAAUCAUCAUGUUUCUUGUGUGAUCACAAUAUGUCUAGUGUAAUCAUCAUGUUUCUAGUGUGAUCAUCAUAUUUAUAGUGUGAUCACAAUAUGUCUAGUGUAAUUAUCAUGAGUUAAGUGUAAUCAUCAGGUGUCUAUUUUGAUUAUUAACUGUCUAGUGAAAACACUAGAUGUGUUGUGUGAUCACUAGGUGUCUAGUGUAAUCACAAUGCUUUUGGUUUCAUUGUUAUGCAAAGAUAUCGUAUUUAAAUAUUGUUAAAUGUAGUGUUUGAAAAGUAUAAACGUUUGUCGAUUGCUUAUUUUUGCUAUGAGAACGAGUAUUUUCAAUUUUAUAUUUAUACAAAAUUCCAUUGUACAUAUACCUUACGUUGCUGCUAUAUUGAUCUGAAAUUUAAGUCUGCUAAGGAAACUGAUAGGGUAUCGGCAUGUGAAAUUAAGAUUGGGAUUAUUUUUUUUUCUCCCAAUCAUUACAAAAUGAAUACAAGAUAUAAUAAAACAUUUUGUUGUCUAUAAGUAGUCACAUCCAUACAUUUAAUAUCAAAUACAUUAAUAAAAACAUCGUGUUGUUAGAAAGUCUUUGCAAGAGAUCGUAAGAAAACACAGAACGUGCCCCUAUUUGGAUAAACGUCCAAAUAUCUCAUAACGGGAAGGGUAUUUAUUUUUCCUUUGAAAACUGUAAUUUCCAAAAGGUAAAACACAUAAAACAUUAAUUGGGGAAUAAUACUAAGAAAAAAGUUAUAUUGGAAGUAUUGUUUAUGAUCACGUGAAAAAUCAAUGUGAGCUUAAGUGACAACUAUGUCCGCCCGUCUUUCGUACGAAACAAACAGAUUCUAGACAAAAUCUAAUUCGUCGUUGUAACUUUUUUGUUGAGUAUCUGCUUUCAUAUUGUUUUGGAACAAAUUGAAUUCGUUGAAAACCAUGUGAUAAACUCUUUUUUUUGUUCGAUUGUUGGGGUGGAGGGAGAUAUUCUUUUAGUUUACUUGCUCAUUCAUUUAUGCCUACAAUAUUGUGAUAUGUUGAGGUAGACUUGGUGCGAGAUUGAUUGAUUGAUGUUUAACGCAACUUUCAGCACCUUUGGCUUUUUCGUAGAAGUUGUUUUAUUGGUGAGGAAACUGGAAUUGGGUCGAGCACACCUGCCAUGCGUUUGGUCCGAUCUCACAACCUCAGUGUUGACAGGCUAGUUGAACAGUAGUUAAACUACUUAGACCACUCGGCAUCCUCGCCCCCUGGGUGCAAGAAGUAUAAAGUAUAUUAGUAAAUUUGAUAAAUAUAGCGUAGGCUGGAGACAUGUAUUGUACAAUAAACAUAACGCAGGCUGGAGACAUACCGGUAUAUUGUACAAUAAACAUAACGUAGGCUGGAGACGUGUAUUGUACAUUUUACAUAACGUAGACUGGAGACAUGUAUUGUACAAUAAAUAUAACGUAAGCUGGAGACAUGUAUUGUACAAUAAAAACAUAACGUAGGCUGGAGACAUGUAUUGUACAAUUAACAUAACGUAUGCUGGAGACAUGUAUUGUACAAUAAGCAUAACGUAUGCUGGAGACAUGUAUUGUACACUAAACAUAACAUAGGCUGGAGACAUGUAUUGUACAAUAAAAACAUAACAUAGGCUGGAGACAUGUACUGUACAAUUAACAUAACGUAUGCUGGAUACAUGUAUUGUACAAUAAACAUAACGUACGCUGGAGACAUGUAUUGUACACUAAACAUAACUUAGGGUGGAGACAUGUAUUGUACAAUAAACAUAACGUAGGGUGGAGACAUGUAUUGUACACUGAACAUAACAUAGGCUGGAGACAUGUAUUGUACAAUAAACAUAACGUAGGGUGGAGACAUGUAUUGUACACUUAACAUGACGUAGGGUGGAGACAUGUAUUGU